UUAAUUAAAGCCAAAAAGAGGCAUAUUAUUGUUAAUAAUAUAAUUGAAAUUUAACUUCUAAUUAAA
rnacentral:tRNA from 1 species